GGCUGGUUAGCUCAGUCAGUUGAGCGUGUCGCUAACAACGCCGAGGUCGUGGGUUCGAUUCCCAUUUGGUCCC
rnacentral:tRNA from 1 species